UACGUAGGGUGCAAGCUUUGUCCGGAAUUAUUGGGCGUAAAGAGCUCGUAGGCGGUCUGUCGCGUCUGCUGUGAAAACUCAGGGCUUAACCCUGAGCUUGCAGUGGGUACGGGCAGACUAGAGUGCGGUAGGGGAGACUGGAAUUCCUGGUGUAGCGGUGAAAUGCGCAGAUAUCAGGAGGAACACCGGUGGCGAAGGCGGGUCUCUGGGCCGUAACUGACACUGAGAGACGAAAGCUAGGGGAGCGAAUGGG
rnacentral:rRNA from 1 species